rnacentral:rRNA from 1 species
UGGGUAACCCACCUUUCGAAAUCUGGGAUAACUCCGCGAAAGCGGUGCCUAAUACCGGAUAAGACCACAGCCGCUUCGGCGGCAGAGGUUAAAGCUGACCUCUCCAUGGAAGUUAGCGUUCGAGGACGGGCCCGCGUCCUAUCAGCUUGUUGGUGGGGUAAUGGCCUACCAAGGCAGCGACGGGUAGCUGGUCUGAGAGGAUGAUCAGCCACACUGGAACUGGAACACGGUCCAGACUCCUACGGGAGGCAGCAGUGAGGAAUUUUGCGCAAUGGGGGAAACCCUGACGCAGCAACGCCGCGUGGGUGAAGAAGGCUUUCGGGUCGUAAAGCCCUGUCAGGUGGGAAGAAACUCUUCAGUACGAAUAAUGCUGAAGCCUGACGGUACCACCAGAGGAAGCACCGGCCAACUCCGUGCCAGCAGCCGCGGUAAUACGGAGGGUGCAAGCGUUGUUCGGAAUUAUUGGGCGUAAAGAGCGUGUAGGCGGUUCGGUCAGUCAGAUGUGAAAGCCCUGGGCUCAACCCAGGAAGUGCAUUUGAAACUACCAGACUUGAGUACGGGAGAGGAGGGGGGAAAUUCCCGGUGUAGAGGUGAAAUUCGUAGANAUCGGGAGGAAUACCGGUGGCGAAGGCGCCCCUCUGGACCGGAUACUG